rnacentral:tRNA from 1 species
AAGCAGGAAGCAAGCAUUGCAGUCAGUUUCGACCUGAUCUUAGAUAAAAUAUUAUCCCCGCUUU